UCAUAUGAUGACUGAGCGUGUGUCGUCCAUUCCUCUUCAACCUGAAAGAGGAAAACAAUGUUUCAAAUGACCUUUUCAUGCCUAAAUGAAGUCAAAUAAAAGUCCCGGUUUCCUGCAUUGUGUAAUGGUCAUCCUGUGCAGGGAGUCCUGGGCCAGAGGGGAUCUCUUCUGAACAAUAAACAUGAUGAGCAGAGUGCCUGCAACACAGAGACAAAUAACAAGCUACUGGAUGGCAAUCAGUCUGGCUUCAAAAGUGGACACACCACCGAGACUGCCCUGCUGCCUGUCACUGAGACAUCUAAUCCAGAUCAUCAGUCCCGAUUCUGAUGGACCUUUCUGUAGCCUUCGACAAGGUUAACCUUCAGAUCUUAUUCUCCUCCCUCUCUUCGCUGGGCACCACAGGAACUGUGCUUGCCUGGUUUAAUUCCUAUCUCUCCAGUAGGUCCUUCAA